CCUACGGGUGGCAGCAGUGGGGAAUAUUGGACAAUGGGCGAAAGCCUGAUCCAGCCAUGCCGCGUGUGUGAAGAAGGCCUUCGGGUUGUAAAGCACUUUCAGUGGGGAAGAAAGCCUUGGGGCUAAUACCCUCGAGGAAGGACAUCACCCACAGAAGAAGCACCGGCUAACUCCGUGCCAGCAGCCGCGGUAAUACGGAGGGUGCGAGCGUUAAUCGGAAUUACUGGGCGUAAAGCGCGCGUAGGCGGUCUGAUAAGCCGGUUGUGAAAGCCCCGGGCUCAACCUGGGAACGGCAUCCGGAACUGUCAGGCUAGAGUGCAGGAGAGGAAUGUAGAAUUCCCGGUGUAGCGGUGAAAUGCGUAGAGAUCGGGAGGAAUACCAGUGGCGAAGGCGGCCUUCUGGACUGACACUGACGCUGAGGUGCGAAAGCGUGGGUAGCAAACAGGAUUAGAUACCCUAGUAGUC
rnacentral:rRNA from 1 species